GUGGGGAAUUUUGGACAAUGGGCGAAAGCCUGAUCCAGCAAUGCCGCGUGCAGGAAGAAGGCCUUCGGGUUGUAAACUGCUUUUGUACGGAACGAAAAGGUCUGCCCUAAUACGGCGGGCCCAUGACGGUACCGUAAGAAUAAGCACCGGCUAACUACGUGCCAGCAGCCGCGGUAAUACGUAGGGUGCGAGCGUUAAUCGGAAUUACUGGGCGUAAAGCGUGCGCAGGCGGUUAUGUAAGACAGUUGUGAAAUCCCCGGGCUCAACCUGGGAAUUGCAUCUGUGACUGCAUAGCUAGAGUACGGUAGAGGGGGAUGGAAUUCCGCGUGUAGCAGUGAAAUGCGUAGAUAUGCGGAGGAACACCGAUGGCGAAGGCAAUCCCCUGGACCUGUACUGACGCUCAUGCACGAAAGCGUGGGGAGCAAACAGGAUUAGAUACCCGGGUAGUCC
rnacentral:rRNA from 1 species